rnacentral:rRNA from 1 species
UACGUAGGGGGCAAGCGUUGUCCGGAAUCAUUGGGCGUAAAGAGCGUGUAGGCGGCUCGAUAAGUCUGCUGUGAAAGUCAAGGGCUCAACCCUUGAAUGCCGGUUGAUACUGUCGGGCUAGAGUCCGGAAGAGGCGAGUGGAAUUCCCGGUGUAGCGGUGAAAUGCGCAGAUAUUGGGAGGAACACCAAUGGCGAAGGCAGCUCGCUGGGACGGUACUGACGCUGAGACGCGAAAGCGUGGGGAGCAAACAGG